CUGAUCCUCCUGCCUCCAUCCCCUGGGUGCUGGGAUUGCUGGUGUUUGCCAACAUCCCAGUUUAUGCAGUGCAAGGGAUUGAAACCAGGGCUUCCUGCAUGUAGGGCAACACUCUUGCAGCUAAGCUGCAUUCCCAACUCCACUUCCCUCUGUUUAAAGUCCCAAGCCAGAAUCCAAGUCUUCUCCUCUUAGUGCACCAUGACCCUGGCUGGCUCAGCCAAGACUCGGUGGAACCUUUGGAGCAUGUGUUUCAAGGCUGAGUUGUAAUGAAUUUCUGAUCUCACCAGAAUGGACUGUGAUUUCCUACAGAAAUAAGCUCUUGAAUUCAAGUGGGUUCCCCUGCUCUCCCACAAAGCCUCCUGCAGUUUCCCUAGGCUGAGGAGGAGGCUGAGGAUGGAGGGCUGCAGCCUGCAUCCCUGGGCAGUGGUUGGCCUUGCUCCUUUAUGAAGAGCUGAGCUCUGGCUCCCUGUGGAUAUCAGUGUGCCAGAGACAAUGGUCCCAUCUUAGCAACAGCAGUCACUUUGAGGUUUACCUUUUGGGUCCUGCAUUAGUUUCUUAAGACUGUUGCAGAGCCUAAGCUUUUGCUCUUACUCUCACCUCUUGCCUUGCUCCCCCUUCCCUUCCCCUCUCUCCGCAUGGCCAUGGCCGCCCUCUGCUUCUUUACUCUUCUCCCUCUCUCUGCCUUUCUACGAUAAAUGCCUUAAUAACCCCCC